CAUGGCGGCCAACGACCACGACGCCGCGCAGGAGAAGUUACAUCCAAGAAAUCUUAUCCCGGAGCUGUGUAGACUGUUUUAUGGUUUAGGCUGGGUAACAGGAACUGGUGGAGGAAUCAGCUUGAAACAUGGGAAUGAAAUCUACAUCGCUCCUUCAGGAGUCCAAAAGGAAAGAAUACAGCCAGAAGAUAUGUUUGUUUGCGACAUGAACGAACAGGACAUCAGUGGUCCUCCACCGCACAAGAAACUAAAGAAAAGCCAGUGCACACCUCUUUUUAUGAAUGCCUACACUAUGAGAGGGGCAGGUGCAGUGAUCCAUACUCAUUCCAAGGCUGCUGUUAUGGCUACCCUUCUUUACCCGGGGAGUGAGUUCAGUAUUACCCAUCAGGAGAUGAUAAAAGGAAUCCAGAAGUGUACUUCAGGAGGCUAUUACCGAUACGAUGAUACACUAGUGGUUCCCAUUAUUGAGAAUACACCAGAAGAGAAGGAUCUCAAGGACAGAAUGGCACGUGCAGUGGAAAAAUACCCAGACUCCUGUGCUGUAUUGGUCAGACGUCAUGGAGUUUAUGUAUGGGGAGAAACGUGGGAAAAAGCCAAAACGAUACAAUGAUUCAGAACAUUAAGUUCUGGCCUCGCUGAAUGUAUAGGGAGCUUUUGGGAAUGGGUUCAUCCAUGAUUCCACCGGUUGGUUUGCCUUUCAUAUCAAUGCUGGCCGAAAGGGUUGCCAACGUUUUCCUUUCAUACAGACAAGUCCCUCCUCAUAAGAAACCUGCAGGCAAUUUCUGCUUUUAUAUGACACCUGCCAAUACUGUUUGUGUAGUCUUCCCUAGUCCCAUUUUUGUAAUUCACUUCUUCAUUUGCUGAGGGAAAUGCAGCAAAUCAGGACCAUGUGGCAAAAAUGCUGGGCACUUUCCAUACCGCAGUAAUGGAAAUAAAUGAUAACAGAGCUGUCCAGUCAGACCGUCGCAUUGGUGAUGUGAAGCUCAAGGAAGAACACGAUUAAUUGUCACAAAACCUGGUUUCUUACAUGAUGAUGUUAGUUCCAGAUUCUGCCUCACGCGGUCGAAACCAGAAGGGGGCGCUGGUACACUCGGCUGAUUGACAGGUGUCACAGUCAGCUUUGACUGUUGAACACAUCCAAGAAGAAAAGGAGAGUUAAAACAAACAAAGAAAAAAUGCUGAACGAUCAUUGCUAUUUAUGAAUCCUGUCAAAUGCUGCAGUAGGAGGAAUGAAAAUUCAGAUGCAAAACAAGAUUUUGAAAAAAGCUUUGGAGAGCUAAUGUGAUGUUUUGUCUGCGUGCUUUAAAAAUUCAUGUUUCAACAACCUGCAUUUGUUGAUCCUGCUCUACUGCUACGUCAUUUAACUUGUUCUAGGUCUCCAUUUCUGAAAGUCACAGUAGCCUUUAUUCUUGGGCAAAAAAGUGAGGACGACCCCUUAAUUAGAAGUUAGGUAUAAAGUUUAAAGCAUUGUUUGAACUGUUGAUUCAUUCAUGCCCUGUUAAUAGCAUGGUUUUUUUAAUUAAGCCUGUAGCAUAUGUAUUUUUAAAUUCUCUUAAUUGUCAUUGUAAUGAGUAGGAAACACAUAAUUUUAUAGCGUGCAUUUAGAAGUUGUUACUGAGAGACUGCUCUGCGUCUUGUCUGUUUUUUACCUCUUUAAAUUCAUUCACUUUCAGUAAGAUUUUGUUUAUUACAACUUUAAAACAGCUUUUAAUGACCCAUGAUUAGCCAGUCUAAGGUAGAUUUAGUCAAACUGCUCAUUAAAAUAUAGUGGCAUGUA